rnacentral:sRNA from 1 species
AUGAUCUUAAAAUAGUUAUUUGAAUAUAAAUCGCAUCAUCAAAUCAUAUCAGAUAAGCAGUGUUACACUCACCUAUAUCUCUUAAAUGUAGAUCAUGGUUGAUUAUUAGUUUCUUAUAACUUAAAAUCUUGUUGCUAAUUAAAGAUGAUAAUCUAAUAAGAAACUAAG